CAUCCUUGCAGCCCCCCCACCUUCUUCCCCGUUGUGCUCCCGCACCCCCACACACCAGCCACCGCGGCCUCCAGUACCACCUCCACAUCCACCGUCGGCUGCCCAUAAGCGCUGCGCCGCCGACCACCCUGCCUACCCCAGCUCGAGCCCUUCCCCUUCCCUAUUCCUCCGCCUAGGCCUCGGCGACCGACGGAUCUGAGCCCACUGCCCUCCCACGCCUUCUCCAUGGCCUCCUCCCCCGCCAGUGGCCGAACUCGUCAAGCUCGACCUCGCUGGAACCCCGCGGCGAACCACGACCCCGACAGGACCCCACCCACUUCUAGUGGCUUAGACCACCAUGCCUCCGCCAUGAAAUGGCCGCCGGCGACGGCCAAGACCCGAUGAUGCGCGCGGCCUCACCUGCCCACUACCAUCCUUCUUCGUUCUUUUUCUGCAGGAGCACCAUCUCAGCCCCCGCAUAGUGCGGGCGGUGAGCACAUGCAGUCCAGUGGGCGCGUGCGUGCAGCGCGCUGAGUGCAGGCGCCGGAUCAGCACCGCCCCCGCGCAGUGCGGGCGGUGAGCACAUGUAGUCCGGUGGGCGCGUGUGUGCAGGGCGCUGAGUUCGGGCGCCGGACCAGCACCGCCCCGUGCAGUGCGGACGGUGAGCACGUGUAGUCCGGUGGGCGCGUGCGUGCAGCGCACUGAGUGCGGGCGCCGGGUCAGCGGCUCCCCCCGUGUAGGAUCCCACAGACAGUGCCGGAUCUCGCGAGAUCGAGCUUCUCUGCUCGGACAUGGCGGCCUCCCGUCCACCCAGGGUAUGGAGGCGAGCUAGAUCCGGUGAGAUCCUUUCCUCUAUGGUCCCCGGCUGUCCAACCUCGCACCCCGGCGGCCUCCUGCAAGAACGGCCAGGUCCACAGUGGUUGCAGAUGCAUUGGAGCGAGAGGGCUUCUAGAACCUCGCCUGCAACACCUCAAGUCUUAAGACACUGAAACCAGGUAUCAGCAUUCAGUACAUUGAUCUCUGGAAUCCUCCCUAGAAUUUACUGAAGAAAUCUUGUGCUAGUGUACAGUGUUUUGCAAUUCUGCUAGUUUGUGCUAUAAUGAACCAUUUUUUAUCCAUGUAUGCAUCCUUGUUGCUGCUUGUAAUGGUGUUCACUGACCAGGUUGAGCAGAUCUUCGAGUUGGCCGACAUCAAAUUGUGUUUAGGGUCGCCGCUCUUCUAGUUACUCUCUAGAGUUCAUACGUUUCACUAUCAGGGUAUGGAACUCUUCAUGAUUUCAUACUAAAAUUCUUCUAUGGACAAACAAAAUUGGUGCUGCUGAUUUAAGCUUAAUGGCACGAACAACAGUUACUGUUAUGUAGUAUGUGGGCCAGUUAUAAAAUUUGGAUGCACACUAAUUUGAUUUUUGUGUUUUGUUUGAUUCAUUUAGUUGCAGGUUGAGUGUGUCAGUAGGUGUGCUUGAUGAGAUCUCUUUAGACUGAAAAAGGAUGUUAAGCUCCAUGUGUAAUAUUUAUGGACUUUCAAAUUU